CCUACGGGAGGCAGCAGUAGGGAAUAUUGCUCAAUGGGGGAAACCCUGAAGCAGCAACGCAGCGUGAAGGAUGAAGGUUUUCGGAUUGUAAACUCCUUUUGUUAGAGAAGAUAAUGACGGUAUCUAACGAAUAAGCAACGGCUAACUCCGUGCCAGCAGCCGCGGUAAUACGGAGGGUGCAAGCGUUACUCGGAAUCACUGGGCGUAAAGAGCGCGUAGGCGGGAUAGCAAGUCAGAUGUGAAAUCCUAUGGCUUAACCAUAAAACUGCAUUUGAAACUGUUAUUCUAGAGUAUAGGUGAGGUAGGUGGAAUUCGUGGUGUAGGGGUAAAAUCCGUAGAGAUCAAGAGGAAUACUCAUUGCGAAGGCGACCUGCUAGAACAUAACUGACACUGAUGCGCGAAAGCGUGGGGAGCAAACAGGAUUAGAUACCCGAGUAGUC
rnacentral:rRNA from 1 species